rnacentral:rRNA from 1 species
UACGAAGGGGGCUAGCGUUGCUCGGAAUCACUGGGCGUAAAGGGUGCGUAGGCGGGUCUUUAAGUCAGGGGUGAAAUCCUGGAGCUCAACUCCAGAACUGCCUUUGAUACUGAAGAUCUUGAGUGCGGGAGAGGUGAGUGGAACUGCGAGUGUAGAGGUGAAAUUCGUAGAUAUUCGCAAGAACACCAGUGGCGAAGGCGGCUCACUGGCCCGAUACUGACGCUGAGGCGCGAAAGCCAGGGGAGCGAACGGG